rnacentral:rRNA from 1 species
GACGAACGCUGGCGGCGUGCUUAACACAUGCAAGUCGAGCGGUAAGGCCCUUCGGGGUACACGAGCGGCGAACGGGUGAGUAACACGUGAGUAAUCUGCCCAUCACUUCGGGAUAACUCCGGGAAACCGGUGCUAAUACCGAAUAUGACCACUUCAGGCAUCUGAUGGUGGUGGAAAGUUCCGGCGGUGAUGGAUGAGCUCGCGGCCUAUCAGCUUGUUGGUGGGGUAGUGGCCUACCAAGGCUUCGACGGGUAGCCGGCCUGAGAGGGUGACCGGCCACACUGGGACUGAGACAUGGCCCAGACUCCUACGGGAGGCAGCAGUGGGGAAUAUUGGACAAUGGGCGAAAGCCUGAUCCAGCAACGCCGCGUGAGGGAUGACGGCCUUCGGGUUGUAAACCUCUUUCAGCAGGGACGAAGCGCAAGUGACGGUACCUGCAGAAGAAGCACCGGCCAACUACGUG